ACAACACCUAAAACAUACACUACACACGCCAUUUUUCAUUUAAGCUUGGACGGAGCUUUUGACCUCCGAUUUGAGCACCGAGACGAGCGCCGAUCAUCUUUUCGAUCAUGUAUCUAAGUAGGUCCUUUUGGGAAGUAACGACUUGAGGGAGAGAGUGACGUUACUCAUUGAUACAGAGACACAACGAGGUUGAGCUGAUGUGAUGAUGGUGCUGCAAUGAGCGGAGUCUCCAGGGUUGUUAAUAAAUAGUUAACCUGUCUAGAAUAUGUCUUCAUACAUAUGUCUAGCUACUUUCCGCUGCAAGAUGUUGUUGAUGUUAUAGUAUGUUAUGUCAUACUUUGAGUCUUAAGAGAAUGGUUUCAUACGAUGUAUAACUUGAUUAAUGAUAUUAAUUAAGUUUUAUGCUGUCUUUCA